rnacentral:rRNA from 1 species
AUUGAACGCUGGCGGAAUGCUUUACACAUGCAAGUCGAGCGGCAGCGCGGGGGCAACCCUGGCGGCGAGCGGCGAACGGGUGAGUAACAUAUCGGAACGUACCCCGUCGUGGGGGAUAACACAGCGAAAGCUGUGCUAAUACCGCAUACGACCUGAGGGUGAAAGCGGGGGAUCGCAAGACCUCGCGCGAUGGGAGCGGCCGAUAUCGGAUUAGCUUGUUGGUGAGGUAAAGGCUCACCAAGGCGACGAUCCGUAGCUGGUCUGAGAGGACGACCAGCCACACUGGAACUGAGACACGGUCCAGACUCCUACGGGAGGCAGCAUGGGGAAUUUUGGACAAUGGGGGCAACCCUGAUCAGCCAUUCCGCGUGAGUGAAGAAGGCC